AAAUACAUAUUUUGGGAUCAAAUCCUAAAAUAUGUGGGAUCCCUGUCAUAACAAUAGUAUAGCAAAAGGGCCUCAGGAUUACAGUGAAAAACAAGCUAAACAAGAGCCAGCAGUGUGAUGCAGUUGCAAAAAUGGUGAAUAUGAUUUUCGGCUGUAUUAAUAGAACUAUAGUCAUGAGAUUUUAUUGUUUCUCUUUAUUCCACACUAGUCUGACUUCAUCAGAAAUAUUAUGUCCAGUUUGGGGUGCCACAUUUUAAGAAGGAUGCAGACAAAUUAGAAUGAAUUCAGAGGAGGGCAAUGAAGAUGUUCAGGAGUAUGAAAAAUGAGCCCUACGAGAAAAGUUAUAGCGGCAGAUGCAUGCAGACAACACGACAGCAGACAACAUGACAGUGGUGAAACUGAGGAGAAUUCCCAGCUCCAAAUUCCAGUUUGCUCAAGGGUGACCCCUAGAGAAAGUGGUCUUCUGGUCUUCAAAUUCAGCAUCAUUAUACUUGAGUCAGUAAAACAGAAUACCUGAGAGGCCAUUUGGCUAGAGCUGAAGAUGAUUUCAGAUUAAUCAAUCUAGAAAUGCUAGAUGCUGCAUGUCACCUGUGUACACUAAGCCAGCUUCAACGUAUUAUUGAUGCACGUUUUGGAUGACUUCACACGACUGAAGCUAAGAGAUAAGUGACUGGCCCCAAAUCACUCAAUCUGGGAGAGUCCUGGAGCGUAUAAACUGUGAUUAGAAUCCCAGUUUUGGGAAGAGCAUUGACUGCCAAGCUCUGUUGAGAAGCAGAUGACUCACAACAAGCCGGAAAGAUCGUGGGCUGAUUCUUGAGCUGGGCAUAACGAUGCAUGUUUUAAGGACGAGAAAGGGAGCAGACAGAGGAAAUAAAGUACUGUUGUAUUCUAUACAGUAAUCUUUUGCAGUUUGUUUGUUUGGAUAUUUGUCCCAAGGGGAAUCUUGUAGAGAGUAUGGGGGAGCAGUCAGAAAGGAAAUGGAAGGAAAAGGAGAAGGAGAAAAUGGAGCUGAAUAAAUCUUUACUUUGUGAAUAAAUAUUUAGUUUUUGCUGGGCCCUAUCCAACCUCAGCACAGCAUCCCUCCAGUGGCUGUUGCUGGCAUCUAUCUUAUGUUUCUUUUUAGAUUGUGAGUCCUUUGGGUACAGGGAGCCAUAUUUAUCUGUUUGUUUGUUUUUCUCUGUGUAAACUGCUUUGGGGACUUUUUUUGAAAAGCAGUAUAUAAAUAUUCGUCAUAGUAGUAGCAAAAUCUACAUAAGAUUUCCAUGUGUGUCUGAGGGAAGCAGCUAUAAAACAUUUGGCAAUGAGAUUUUGAACCAGCUAAGUGUGUGAGCCUGCAAAUCUUGGGAAUGUUCCUGCAACCUCAUUUCAUUGCAUCACUGGAACGACGUUCCUGCACUGCUUUCUACUAUCGCUGAUAAUGAUUGUUUCUCCAGCUUCUUCACCUGCACAACUCCUGAAGGUACUUUUUCCUUAUCAAACCUGAACUCUGUUGUUCACUGGAUGCCCACUGCAGCAUGGUUCAGAUCCCACCACCACCUUUUUUCUUGUCCAUCCCAGGAGAACCUGCUCUUCCCUGGAAAUGAUGGAGGUCCUAUUUCUGCAGUUACCUCUUCACCAUACAGAGCCCUGAUUUUACUCCAGCAAAACAGAAGUAACCAUAUUGCUUCACUGCCUGAGCUCUGAAGGCCAGAUAAUUAUUUGCCCUUUCCUGUGAACUUGGGAUGACAGUUCUUAUGAAGCUGUUCUUCAAGCCUUAGAUGAUCAUUUCAACUCUACUUUGAAUGUGAUUGCUGAAUGUUACAAGUUC